rnacentral:rRNA from 1 species
AUUGAACGCUGGCGGCAGGCCUAACACAUGCAAGUCGAACGGUAGCACAGAGAGCUUGCUCUCGGGUGACGAGUGGCGGACGGGUGAGUAACGUCUGGGAAACUGCCCGAUAGAGGGGGAUAACUACUGGAAACGGUAGCUAAUACCGCAUAACGUCGCAAGACCAAAGUGGGGGACCUUCGGGCCUCACACCAUCGGAUGUGCCCAGAUGGGAUUAGCUAGUAGGUGGGGUAAUGGCUCACCUAGGCGACGAUCCCUAGCUGGUCUGAGAGGGUGACCAGCCACACUGGAACUGAGACACGGUCCAGACUCCUACGGGAGGCAGCAGUGGGGAAUAUUGCACAAUGGGCGCAAGCCUGAUGCAGCCAUGCCGCGUGUAUGAAGAAGGCCUUCGGGUUGUAAAGUACUUUCAGCGGGGAGGAAGGCGGUGAAGUUAAUAGCUUCACCGAUUGACGUUACCCGCAGAAGAAGCACCGGCUAACUCCGUGCCAGCCGCCGCCGUAA